rnacentral:rRNA from 1 species
UACGUAGGGUGCGAGCGUUGUCCGGAAUUAUUGGGCGUAAAGAGCUCGUAGGCGGUUUGUCGCGUCUGCUGUGAAAACGCGAGGCUCAACCUCGCGCCUGCAGUGGGUACGGGCAGACUAGGAGUGCGGGUAGGGGAGAUUGGAAUUCCUGGUGUAGCGGUGGAAUGCGCAGAUAUCAGGAGGAACACCGAUGGCGAAGGCAGAUCUCUGGGCCGUAACUGACGCUGAGGAG